rnacentral:rRNA from 1 species
UCGCCCGACGAAGGGAAUGUACUAAGUCGCGUCGUCCUUUUGCAUAAUGACGCCGCGAGUUACUAUCAGCGGCAAGGUUAAGUCGACAGACGAAGCCGUAGCGAAAGCGAGUCCGAAAUGGGCGCACAGUCGCUGGGAGUAGACCCGAAACCCGGUGAUCUACCCAUGUCCAGGAUGAAACGCGGGUAAAACCGCGUGGAGGUCCGAACUCACUGCAGUUGAAAAUGCAGGGGAUGAGGUGUGGGUCGGAGUGAAAGGCUAAUCAAACCGGGAGAUAGCUGGUUCUCGCCGAAAGAUAUUUAGGUAUCGCCUCGAGAAACUCUGUCGAGGAGGUAGAGCACUGGAUGGGCUAGGGGUCUUACCAGAUUACCAAACCCAACCAAACUCCUAAUGCCUCGACAUUUACCUCGGGAGUCAGGCUGUGGGAGCUAAGUUCCAUGGCCAAAAGGGAAAGAGCCCAGACCGCCAGCUAAGGUCCCUAAGUCGUUGCUAAGUGGG